UUAAUUGAAGCCAAAAAGAGGCACAUUAUUGUUAAUAAUACCAAUGGUACUUUAACCCAAUUAAU
rnacentral:tRNA from 1 species